UUUAUCGGAGAGUUUGAUCCUGGCUCAGGACGAACGCUGGCGGCGUGCCUAAUACAUGCAAGUCGAGCGGGCAGAUGGGAGCUUGCUCCCUGAUGUUAGCGGCGGACGGGUGAGUAACACGUGGGUAACCUGCCUGUAAGACUGGGAUAACUCCGGGAAACCGGGGCUAAUACCGGAUGGUUGUUUGAACCGCAUGGUUCAAACAUAAAAGGUGGCUUCGGCUACCACUUACAGAUGGACCCGCGGCGCAUUAGCUAGUUGGUGAGGUAACGGCUCACCAAGGCGACGAUGCGUAGCCGACCUGAGAGGGUGAUCGGCCACACUGGGACUGAGACACGGCCCAGACUCCUACGGGAGGCAGCAGUAGGGA
rnacentral:rRNA from 1 species